CCAGCUCAACAGGUCACAGCCCCUGGCUGCCUUGAACCUUUCUCUGCACAGGACAAAUAGUCUGCACAGAGAACAUUAGUGCCUCUGCUCUGAGUCAGGGAUGAUUCUGUUUCCCUUUCUUUUUUCCCAAAGCAAUUCUCAAAUUAGAACCAAACAGAGAAUUCAUCUGUCACUUCUUUGUAAUACCCCGUAGUAAAAAGUAUAGUCCUCCGAAAGUAUCUGUGAAGGCAGUUAGUGUAAAUAAAAGCUACUUCUCUUAAUAUCUUGAUCCUUGAGAUUUCAGACAGGGACUGUAACUACUGCUACCCUAAGAGGCACUCACAGCCCAAGGGCCUCCUUCAAACCAAGUUUGCUAACGAUGGAGAGGAACUGUCGCAAUUUUAGAAAACGUCUAUUCUAUGAGCUGUGAUGGAGACUGGAUGUAGGGAUACUUCUGGAUGCCACUAAGCACCCCCGUUAAAACCUAGAUUACAAGACGGUACCACUCCCCUUCACCUAUGUGUGACAUGACACUAGUUGAACUGCUCCCAGUAGAGAGUUUAAAGAAAAAAGCAAUCUCAGGAUGCCAGUAAGGUUUUAGUCAUUAAAUCGAAGUUUCAAAAUUAUUGUUAUAAGUUUUUAAUACUAAUUAUAUAUUCGUAAUAUAGAGAAUCAUAAAAUGUUAGACUUAGAAUUAGAUCUCAUUAAAUCAAAUUCUAAAAUCGUUUUCAUGUGGAAAUUUUGUUUCAUAUUUUAAAGAAAUGGACUAACAGUUGAAGCCGAAAUUUUCUGUAAUAUUAAAAUUUUUGUAAUGAUAGUAUUUAUUAUAAUGGAAUUCAUUCAAGUUACCUAACCCAAAUGUGAAUUUUUAGGAUUUGCUAACUUUCGCAAAAAAAAAUAUUUUUUAUAUAUAUAUAAAGUGUGUGUAUAUAUAUUUUUUAUAUAUAAAGUGUGUGUAUAUAUAUACACACACACUUUGGAAAUUAGGUUUAUGACUAAAGCUAUACUUUAGAUAUUAAAAGAAAACGUCACAAACCAUUCAGAAUGAAAGGCAUUCAAAAAUUGCAAAUAUUGUUUCAAAAUGAUUUAGUGACCCAAUACUUAGAAAAUAAAUGUAAGCUCCAAAAGAUAAAUUGAAGGGAAAAAGUUGAAAUGACAGAAUUCAGUUUCAAUCCUUGAGUUCCUAGAAUUUUAUCAAAAGCUUAUUUUACAGAUGAAAAACUGAGGCUGAGACAUUAGCCAUGUGGCAGUGCCAAGACUGGAAUUCAGGCAUGAUGAACUCCCUUCUACUGCGCUAUGACAAACUGUCUUUCCUGUGCUGGUAAGGCAUAGCUAUUAUAUAUGCUACAGACACUUGUGUUCUUAGGCUGAGAGGUGCAAAGAAGGAAGAAUAACAAGACUAGACAGCAACAGCAUACCUGAUGCUGAUAAAUACUUUUUAAAAUCUACUAGGUAAGUCUACUCUUAGAGCUUGAAACAUGAAUAGUUUCGCUUUCUAUGUUUACUUAUCUUUUUUAUGGGGGAGGUGCACUGAGGAAAGUAGAUGGUAUCAUCUUAUUGCCUGUUCAGAAACUUCUAUUAUUAUUCUUGUGUGUUAUUGAAAUGAGAAGGCAAUUUUCUUUCUGGUUUAAUUCCAUGUAGCGUAACAAACAGGGUAAGAAUCAAGUCCUUAGUGUUUAGUUAAGCCUCAUACAAAAGACAAGCUGGCAUCCUGUCCAGAAAACUCAAAUCCACAACAGACAACUCACAACUAUUCAAAAAGCUGUUCAACCAACCCCUCUGUUCUUUUCUCAUCCUGAUCCACUCCAUACCAUCAACAAGCCCAGUCGAGGCAAGACUUGGAGUAAAAACAAAUGCUACACAUCCAGGCACAAGCCGAAAAGAUGCUUUGGGCAAGCAGACAGUAACAGGUGAAGCCGCUCACAUCACAAAGAGAAAGUCAGCGAAUCGUUAUGUGCUUCCUGGUGAAAGUACACACACCCACCUAAAAAGUAUUCUUGCCAUGAUAUUGAAUCUGAAUUCAAU
rnacentral:lncRNA from 1 species